rnacentral:rRNA from 1 species
UACGUAGGGGGCAAGCGUUGUCCGGAAUCAUUGGGCGUAAAGAGCGUGUAGGCGGCUCGGUAAGUCCGCUCUGAAAGCCCGGGGCUCAACCCCGGGAGGCGGGCGGAUACUGUCGGGCUAGAGUCCGGAAGAGGCGAGUGGAAUUCCUGGUGUAGCGGUGAAAUGCGCAGAUAUCAGGAGGAACACCAAUGGCGAAGGCAGCUCGCUGGGACGGUACUGACGCUGAGGCGCGAAAGCUAGGGGAGCAAACGGG